AGCUCCAAUAGCGUAUAUUAAAGUUGUUGCAGUUAAAAGCUCGUAGUUGGAUUUCUGGGUCAAGCUCCUGGUCCGCCACAAAGUGGUGCUGACUAUGUGUAGCGUUGAUUCAUCCUUGUGGGAAAGUUAGUUAGUCCUUCGUUGGUCAGCUAUCGGAACCGCAUCAUUUACUGUGAAAAAUUAGAGUGUUCAAAGCAGGCUUUCGCUAUGAAUACAUUAGCAUGGAAUAAUAAGAUAGGACUUUGGAUCUAUUUUGUUGGUUGGAGACCAAGGUAAUGAUUAAUAGGGAUAGUUGGGGGUAUUCAUAUUUAAUUGUCAGAGGUGAAAUUCUUGGAUUUAUGAAAGAUGAACUUAUGCGAAAGCAUUUACCAAGGAUGUUUUCA
rnacentral:rRNA from 1 species